rnacentral:rRNA from 1 species
UACGUAGGGUGCAAGCGUUGUCCGGAAUUAUUGGGCGUAAAGCGCUCGUAGGCGGUCUGUCGCGUCGGCUGUGAAAACCCGAGGCUCAACCUCGGGCCUGCAGUCGAUACGGGCAAACUAGAGUACUGCAGGGGAGACUGGAAUUCCUGGUGUAGCGGUGAAAUGCGCAGAUAUCAGGAGGAACACCGGUGGCGAAGGCGGGUCUCUGGGCAGUAACUGACGCUGAGGAGCGAAAGCGUGGGGAGCGAACAGG